rnacentral:rRNA from 1 species
UACGGAGGGUGCAAACGUUGCUCGGAAUCAUUGGGCGUAAAGCGCACGUAGGUGGCCUGUUAAGUCGGGUGUGAAAGCCCUCGGCUCAACCGAGGAAGUGCAUUCGAAACUGGCAGGCUUGAGUAUGGAAGAGGGUCGUGGAAUUCCCGGUGUAGAGGUGAAAUUCGUAGAUAUCGGGAGGAACACCAGUGGCGAAGGCGGCGACCUGGGCCAAUACUGACACUGAGGUGCGAAAGCGUGGGGAGCAAACAGG